AUAGAGACUCAGAGCUGCAUAUCAAUAAGCGGAGGAAAAGAAACUAACAAGGAUUCCCUUAGUAACGGCGAGUGAAGCGGGAAGAGCUCAAAUUUGAAAUCUUCAAGGUUUUACCUUGACGAAUUGUAGUUUAAAGAAGUGUUUUCUGUUGAAGUUUUGGUAAAAGUUCUUUGGAAUAGGACAUCAUGGAGGGUGAGAAUCCCGUAUUUGACCAUUACUUCCAGCGUUGUGAUACACUUUCAAAGAGUCGGAUUGUUUGGGAAUGCAGUCCAAAAUGGGUGGUAAAUUUCAUCUAAAGCUAAAUAUUGGCGAGAGACCGAUAGCGAACAAGUGCCGUGAGGGAAAGAUGAAAAGAACUUUGAAAAGAGAGUUAAACAGUACGUGAAAUUGUCAAAAGGGAAGCGUUUGACACCAGUGUUGUUUUUCCGAAAAUCAAUUACGAAUGUUUUAUUUUUGAAGAAGCUAUGACUUCAUCGGCUUGCUUCUCUUCUUUACUGAAACUUUCUUAAUGCACUUUUCGGUUAACAAGUCAACAUCAAUUUCUUUUGUUGUAAAAGGGUAUGAGGAAGGUGGCUUUCUUUUCGGAGAAAGUGUUUAUAGCCUUGGGCCUCUGCAAUCGGAGAGAUUGAGGUCUGCAGCGUAGAUCCUUCGGGGUUAGAUACGUUUGUGCUAAGUUAUAGCUUUUCAUAGACAACUUGUUGACUAUGUUGAGUCUUGUAAUUUACUCGCAGAUGCUAUUUUACCUACGCUUAGGAUGUUGAUAUGCAUGACUGAUAU
rnacentral:rRNA from 1 species